CUUAAUGAACACAAUUCUCAACCCUAAGAAAUAUGGUUUUGAUGUAAUAAGGAGAGGAUGCUGUGGCACUGGGUGGUUAGAAAUGGGUUAUGGAUGCAACUCUGCAACACCAACCUGCGCAAACGCUUCAAAAUAUCUGUUUUGGGAUGCCAUACACCCCACACAAGCUGGUAACCAGAUUAUCACCAAUUCACUUGAAGAAACUGUACUUCCUCAACUCCCCAAUUAGAUUCUUAUUCAAUGGCCAUGAUUAAUAAAGAGACUCAAUAAACUGUUUAUUUCAUCUA